ACUGCAACUACUUGUUUGUGUUAGCUGACAGUGUGACACUGACUGUGGACCACUCCUCUGCAGACGGGUUUAAAGCUGAGACCAUUACAUUUACAUAAAGCCCCACUCCAAUGGCUGACGGCUGCCAAAUAUUUGUCCAGUCUCAGUCUAUUGGACCACAUACCACAUUAGAUAAUGAUGUCAACUACUGCAACAUUUAUAAUCUACUCAGAGGAAGUGGACUCAACUUGCAGCCUGGAUUUUUAGACAAAACUGAAAAGUGGUUCUGCCCAUCGUUCACUC